rnacentral:lncRNA from 1 species
UGAGAGAUGAAAGUCAACGUCCUUACCCUUCAGGAGUUUAGAAUCAAUUGAGAGGAGAAAGCUCAACAUGCUCCAUGAGCCACGGGACAAGACAGCAUAAAUCAAAGCUCUCCCAAGACUUCAAGGCCCAACCCAAACACUAUCUCCUUCAGGAAACCUUUCUAGAUCCCCAUAUUGGAAAUUAAUCUCCGGACUCCAUGUCUCCAGGGCCUUUGGCUUAUACCUUUCCUGCAGUACUUACCACUAUUUACCUUGUACUGGAGUGAUUUAUGCACAUGUCAGCCUUUCCCACUAGAGUGUGAGUUCCUGAGGACAGAAAUAUUUAUGAAGGGCCUUCCUACGACUUUGGCUACUAUAUGAAGGACCAAUAUUAUAACAUCAAUAAUCUGCCUCGCAUUUUAAGAUGAUUUUAUGGCAAAAUAAUUAGAAUGAAAUGUAAUUUAAUAAAAUAUUUUCAGUUUCAUUUUCAUAACCAACAUUUCUUUCUAUGUCCGUUGUAUAGACACCGUGUGGAAGGCCGAGAGCUUGCUAUGACCUGCUCAAGGUCAUAGAAGUUAACAGCAGGGUGAAGCCCAGAACUUGGCCUGUUUGUUGUGCUCAGCACUCUGAGGCUGGCAGUUAACCGACGUGUCUGUGUCGCAUGUUCCUAGUCCCAUUAAAUCACCCUUAGCAAGCAAUUUUGUAUUCCGCUGCACAUAAGCAGUUUGGCUUCCUUGUCAUGAGUGUGGUUUAGUAAGUUAUCUCCCUGUUUAGACAUAAAACGAAGCCAGAUGAAACAAAUUGCAUCUUUUAACUGUCUUUCUAGACUGGUUGUGACUCCUGCUCUGACCAUUUUAGGUUGGCAGGGGCUCCUCUGGAGCAAUUUCCCCAACAAAACCAUGUGGCUUCAGAGCAAUUAGAGUCCAGUGUGCUUGAACACCAAUCUUUCCACCCUUCCUCCCUCGGACUCCUCAAGGCCUUGUGGCAACAUCGAAGACACAAACUUAGUUUUCUGUUGUUGACAAAUGAGGUCACUGAGGUUUUGAAAGAUGGAGUGACAUGUGCCCAAGAUUACCACUGCCAGGAUUCAAAUUCUUGUUGGUUCUGAUGCUAUAGACUUUUCCUUAGCUCCCCAUAGGAUUCCCUUUUGUGAUUGGGAGGGAGUGGGAGAGCAGGACCUGACUCUCCCAUCAGAAUCUUUAGAUAAGAUGACAUGACCAUAGUCACUUUUGAGAUUGGAACAUACUGCUCUUAACCUGAAUGUGAGGGGUGUGUUUUCUUCCCCUGUAGCUACACUUUUCAUGAAAGGACUGACGAUUCCUUCAUCCUACCAACCCCAUGCAUUUACUUCUGCUGUGGUUCCCACUUUAAAAGUCUUGUCCUUACAUAAAAAAUUAAGGCUCCCAUUCUUGUGUCAAGAUCUCACUGGAUUGGGUGUAUGGAUUGACUGAAGUGAGUGGAUGUGAUCUUAUACUUUGGCAAUGAACUAGCCUUUUUGCAGUGAACAGGGGGAAGAGUCAAAAGGGUAAUUGAUAAUGAGAGAGACAGUAGUGGUGAGGGCCAGGUGUGGCCAAGGAAUGUGCACAUUCUUUGUUGGGUGGUGAGAGUCCAUGUGUUAGAGUCUGUAAACAAGUCAGGAUGGCGCCUGGCAAAAUGCCAGAGGGAGUGGUUUGUGAGGUGGAGCCAGCGAGCCAUUAAGUGUGGAGAUUCUUUAUUGGUUGACUGAUGUAUCUAGUUUAUGUUAAUUAGAUAAGCUGUGUGGAAUGUAUAAAUACUGCUCCUGUCCUGCAAUAAACGGCUCCCACUCCUGCU